UGAGUAGGACAGAUGGUCGCUGCCGUGGCUGACACGGGAGAGGAAAGUCCGGGCUUCACAGGGCAGGGUGCCAGAUAACGUCUGGCGGGGGCGACCCCAGGGAAAGUGCAACAGAAAUAAACCGCAUGGCGAAAGCCGUGUAAGGGUGGAAAGGCAGUGUAAGAGACUACCGCCUUGCUGGUAACAGGAAGGGCACAUGCAAACCCCAUCUGAAGCAAGGCCAAACAGGAGGCAUAAGGCGGCCCGUCUGCCUCCGGGUAGGCCGCUCGAGCCGUCCGGUGACGGACGGCCUAGAUAGAUGACCAUCCGCGCGAUGCGUGACAGAACCCGGCUUAUCGUCCUGCUCAAAGG
rnacentral:RNase_P_RNA from 1 species